AACAAAGGAGUGGAACCACUUUGGAAAUGGGUGCCUAGCCCCUGUCAGAUCUCCUCCCUGCAGAAACUCAACCAGCAGACCAAGACUAAGACCUGCUGGCCUGAAAGAAGCACACAAUCAUAAUGUAGCUGCUUGUGGAACAGCAGGAAAUUUGGGGUGUCCUCUUGGCCCUAACAACCAAUAACAAACCAGGUCCUCAGUCACAGAGCCACCUCUAACAGAGCUGUUAGAAUUCUGCCGACAGCCUAAAGGAGUUUGGAAGCAGACACAUCCCUGUGUGAGCCCCCAAGCAAGAAGGCAGUCUAAUCAAUAUCUCAAUCGCAGCCCUUUGAAACUCUGAAGAGAAGACCCUAAGCUAAGCCGUGCCCAGACUCGUGACCCAGAGAAACUAUAGGCUAAUAAAUCUGUGCUGUUUUAAACUGGUAA
rnacentral:lncRNA from 1 species